UACAGAGGUCCCAAGCGUUGUUCGGAUUCAUUGGGCGUAAGGGGUGCGUAGGUGGCGUCGUAAGUCGGGUGUGAAAUCUCGGGGCUUAACUCCGAAACUGCAUUCGAUACUGCGGUGCUUGAGGACUGGAGAGGAGACUGGAAUUUACGGUGUAGCAGUGAAAUGCGUAGAGAUCGUAGGGAAGACCAGUGGCGAAGGCGGGUCUCUGGACAGUUCCUGACACUGAGGCACGAAGGCCAGGGGAGCAAACGGG
rnacentral:rRNA from 1 species